AGUGGAAUCGCUGGGUCACAUGGUAACUCUAAGUUUAACUUUUUGAGGAACUGCCAAAUUAUUUUCCAAAGUGGCUGCACCAUCUUAUGUUCCCACCAGCGGC
rnacentral:pre_miRNA from 1 species